GAGUUUGAUCCUGGCUCAGGACGAACGCUGGCGGCGUGCUUAACACAUGCAAGUCGAGCGGAAAGGCCCUUCGGGGUACUCGAGCGGCGAACGGGUGAGUAACACGUGAGUAAUCUGCCCCAUGCUUUGGGAUAGCCACCCGAAGGGGUGAUUAAUACCGGAUACGACGCGCCUCGGCAUCGAGUGUGCGUGGAAAGUUUUUCGGCAUGGGAUGUGCUCGCGGCCUAUCAGCUUGUUGGUGGGGUAAUGGCCUACCAAGGCUUCGACGGGUAGCCGGCCUGAGAGGGUGACCGGCCACACUGGGACUGAGACACGGCCCAGACUCCU
rnacentral:rRNA from 1 species